AUUCCACAAAUCUUGCACCUGUUAUCAGUUAGCACCGUCUUCAAUAUCUUCUAACGUUAGCUUCAAUACCUUCAACACCUUCAAUUGGCUUCCAACACCUGCUGCACCUAAAGGUGAUCAGCUGAGAUCUGUUCAUCUUUGAACAAGCACAAAAACACUUCCAGUAGAAUCUUUUGGUGCAACACUUCAGGUUUGAGUAGACUAUAAACCAAGAAGGACAUUUUAUGAGAUACUUCUACCCCAUUUCCUCCUUUCAGCUCCUUCUACAUGCCAGCUGAUCUCAGAACACCUGAAGUAGAUGCAAUUUCAUAACUUGCUGCAGUCCAGUAUCAAGAUGAAAACUGAAACCUGUCCUUGAAGUGUAGUUCUGCUAUAUGACACAAAAGAAGCAAUCUGGCAUUGUCACAGGCAUGCAAAAAUCUCACCCUGCCAGAAAUUGUUUGUUUUUGUGUUUUACAUAUUCUUUCCCUUUUUGUUCUUCAUUUUCUUCCUUUUCGUGUCACUAUGAUGAAAUCAUGGAAGAUA